GACGAACGCUGGCGGCGUGCCUAAUACAUGCAAGUAGAACGCUGAAGGAGGAGCUUGCUUCUCUGGAUGAGUUGCGAACGGGUGAGUAACGCGUAGGUAACCUGCCUGGUAGCGGGGGAUAACUAUUGGAAACGAUAGCUAAUACCGCAUAAUAGCAGUUGUUGCAUGACAACUGUUUGAAAGGUGCAAUUGCACCACUACCAGAUGGACCUGCGUUGUAUUAGCUAGUUGGUGGGGUAACGGCUCACCAAGGCGACGAUACAUAGCCGACCUGAGAGGGUGAUCGGCCACACUGGGACUGAGACACGGCCCAGACUCCUACGGGAGGCAGCAGUAGGGAAUCUUCGGCAAUGGACGGAAGUCUGACCGAGCAACGCCGCGUGAGUGAAGAAGGUUGUCGGAUCGUAAAGCGCUGUUGUAAGAGAAGAACGAGUGUGAGAGUGGAAAGGUCACACUGUGACGGUAUCUUACCAGAAAGGGACGGCUAACUACGUGC
rnacentral:rRNA from 1 species